GUGUUACAUGAAAGGAAAGAAGGUUAGCACUCCCCUUGAUAAGGAUGGAAGAGGUCUUAGUGGCCUUUACAACCCACAUACAGUUAAGGCAUUGCCACCUACUCUGUGGUAUCUAACCAUGUUUUUGA
rnacentral:ncRNA from 1 species